rnacentral:rRNA from 1 species
GACGAACGCUGGCUGCGUGCUUAACACAUGCAAGUCGAACGCUGAAGCUCUGGUGCUUGCACCGGGGUGGAUGAGUGGCGAACGGGUGAGUAACACGUGAGUAACCUGCCCCUGACUUCGGGAUAAGCCCGGGAAACUGGGUCUAAUACCGAAUAUGACCGUUCCUCGCAUGAGGGAUGGUGGAAAGUUUUUUCGGUUGGGGAUGGGCUCGCGGCCUAUCAGCUAGAUGGUGGGGUAAUGGCCCACCAUGGCGACGACGGGUAGCCGGCCUGAGAGGGCGACCGGCCACACUGGGACUGAGACACGGCCCAGACUCCUACGGGAGGCAGCAGUGGGGAAUAUUGCACAAUGGGGGAAACCCUGAUGCAGCGACGCAGCGUGCGGGAUGACGGCCUUCGGGUUGUAAACCGCUUUUAGCAGGGAAGAAGCCCCUUGGGGUGACGGUACCUGCAGAAGAAGUACCGGCUAACUACGUGCCAGCAGCCGCGGUAAUACGUAGGGUACGAGCGUUGUCCGGAAUUAUUGGGCGUAAAGAGCUCGUAGGUGGUUGGUCACGUCUGCUGUGGAAACGCAACGCUUAACGUUGCGCGUGCAGUGGGUACGGGCUGACUAGAGUGCAGUAGGGGAGUCUGGAAUUCCUGGUGUAGCGGUGAAAUGCGCAGAUAUCAGGAGGAACACCGGUGGCGAAGGCGGGACUCUGGGCUGUAACUGACACUGAGGAGCGAAAGCAUGGGGAGCGAACAGGAUUAGAUACCCUGGUAGUCCAUGCCGUAAACGUUGGGCACUAGGUGUGGGGGACAUUCCACGUUCUCCGCGCCGUAGCUAACGCAUUAAGUGCCCCGCCUGGGGAGUACGGUCGCAAGGCUAAAACUCAAAGGAAUUGACGGGGGCCCGCACAAGCGGCGGAGCAUGCGGAUUAAUUCGAUGCAACGCGAAGAACCUUACCAAGGCUUGACAUACACCAGACCGGGCUGGAAACAGUCCUUCCCCUUUGGGGUUGGUGUACAGGUGGUGCAUGGUUGUCGUCAGCUCGUGUCGUGAGAUGUUGGGUUAAGUCCCGCAACGAGCGCAACCCUCGUUCUAUGUUGCCAGCACGUGAUGGUGGGAACUCAUAGGAGACUGCCGGGGUCAACUCGGAGGAAGGUGGGGAUGACGUCAAAUCAUCAUGCCCUUUAUGUCUUGGGCUUCACGCAUGCUACAAUGGCUGGUACAGAGAGAUGCGAGACCGUGAGGUUUUAGCGAAUCCCUUAAAGCCAGUCUCAGUUCGGAUCGUAGUCUGCAAUUCGACUACGUGAAGUCGGAGUCGCUAGUAAUCGCAGAUCAGCAACGCUGCGGUGAAUACGUUCCCGGGCCU